CUAAGAAUAUUCCGCAAUGGACGAAAGUCUGACGGAGCGACGCCGCGUGGAUGAAGAAGGCCGAAAGGUUGUAAAAUCCUUUUGCUGAGGAAGAAUAACCAUGGGAGGGAAUGCCCGUGGGAUGACAUGAAUCGGCGAAUAAGCCCCGGCCAACUACGUG
rnacentral:rRNA from 1 species